UGCAAGCCGAGCGGUAGAGAUCUUUCGGGAUCUUGAGAGCGGCGUACGGGUGCGGAACACGUGUGCAACCUGCCUUUAUCAGGGGGAUAGCCUUUCGAAAGGAAGAUUAAUACCCCAUAAUAUAUCGAGUGGCAUCACUUGAUAUUGAAAACUCCGGUGGAUAGAGAUGGGCACGCGCAAGAUUAGAUAGUUGGUGAGGUAACGGCUCACCAAGUCUACGAUCUUUAGGGGGCCUGAGAGGGUGAUCCCCCACACUGGUACUGAGACACGGACCAGACUCCUACGGGAGGCAGCAGUGAGGAAUAUUGGACAAUGGGUGAGAGCCUGAUCCAGCCAUCCCGCGUGAAGGACGACGGCCCUAUGGGUUGUAAACUUCUUUUGUAUAGGGAUAAACCUAGAUACGUGUAUCUAGCUGAAGGUACUAUACGAAUAAGCACCGGCUAACUCCGUGCCAGCAGCCGCGGUAAUACGGAGGGUGCAAGCGUUAUCCGGAUUUAUUGGGUUUAAAGGGUCCGUAGGCGGAUUUGUAAGUCAGUGGUGAAAUCUCACAGCUUAACUGUGAAACUGCCAUUGAUACUGCAAGUCUUGAGUGUUGUUGAAGUAGCUGGAAUAAGUAGUGUAGCGGUGAAAUGCAUAGAUAUUACUUAGAACACCAAUUGCGAAGGCAGGUUACUAAGCAACAACUGACGCUGAUGGACGAAAGCGUGGGGAGCGAACAGGAUUAGAUACCCUGGUAGUCCACGCCGUAAACGAUGCUAACUCGUUUUUGGGCUUUYGGGUUCAGAGACUAAGCGAAAGUGAUAAGUUAGCCACCUGGGGAGUACGAACGCAAGUUUGAAACUCAAAGGAAUUGACGGGGGCCCGCACAAGCGGUGGAUUAUGUGGUUUAAUUCGAUGAUACGCGAGGAACCUUACCAAGGCUUAAAUGGGAAAUGACAGGUUUAGAAAUAGACUUUUCUUCGGACAUUUUUCAAGGUGCUGCAUGGUUGUCGUCAGCUCGUGCCGUGAGGUGUUAGGUUAAGUCCUGCAACGAGCGCAACCCCUGUCACUAGUUGCCAUCAUUAAGUUGGGGACUCUAGUGAGACUGCCUACGCAAGUAGAGAGGAAGGUGGGGAUGACGUCAAAUCAUCACGGCCCUUACGCCUUGGGCCACACACGUAAUACAAUGGCCGGUACAGAGGGCAGCUACACAGCGAUGUGAUGCAAAUCUCGAAAGCCGGUCUCAGUUCGGAUUGGAGUCUGCAACUCGACUCUAUGAAGCUGGAAUCGCUAGUAAUCGCGCAUCAGCCAUGGCGCGGUGAAUACGUUCCCGGGCCUUGUACACACCGCCCGUCAAGCCAUGGAAGUCUGGGGUA
rnacentral:rRNA from 1 species